rnacentral:rRNA from 1 species
UACGUAGGGUGCGAGCGUUUGUCCGGAAUUAUUGGGCGUAAAGGGCUCGUAGGCGGUUUGUCGCGUCGGGGAGUGAAAACCCAGGGCUUAACCCUGGGCUGGCUUCCGAUACGGGCAGACUAGAGGUAUGCAGGGGGAGAACGGAAUUCCUGGUGUAGCGGUGAAAAUGCGCAGAUAUCAGGAGGAACACCGGUGGCGAAGGCGGUUCUCUGGGCAUUACCUGACGCUGAGGAGCGAAAGUGUGGGGAGCGAACAGG